rnacentral:rRNA from 1 species
CACAAGAGACCCAAAUUAACUGUUACACGGCGUAAAGAGUGGUACCAUGCUAUCCCAACAACUAAGAUUAAAGCACAGCUAAGCUGUCAUAAGCCCUAGAUGUGUCUAAAAACACCCCAAAGAUGAUCUUAGCAGCCUCGACUGAUUAAACUCCACGAAAGCUAGGGCACAAACUGGGAUUAGAUACCCCACUAUGCCUAGCCCUAAAUCUUGAUAUCUUACAUCACCAAAGUAUCCGCCUGAGAACUACGAGCACAAACGCUUAAAACUCUAAGGACUUGGCGGUGCCCCAGACCCACCUAGAGGAGCCUGUUCUAUAAUCGAUAACCCACGAUGCACCCGACCACCCCUCGCCAAAGCAGCCUAUAUACCGCCGUCGCCAGCCCACCUCCCCUGAAAGAACAACAGUGAGCAUAAUAGCCCCAACCCCGCUAGCAAGACAGGUCGAGGUAUAGCCCAUGGGGUGGAAGAAAUGGGCUACACUUUCUAAGAUAGACAACUUCACGGAAGGGGACAUGAAAUUGCCCCCGGAAGGCGGAUUUAGCAGUAAAGUGAGAUAAUAAAGCCCACUUUAAGCUGGCCCUGAGGCACGUACAUACCGCCCGUCACCCUCCUCACAGGCCACCCACAACAUAUAACUAAUGCCCCCCCCCCGCGCCGAAGAUGAGGUAAGUCGUAACAA